AUGCUUUUGUGUACGUAAUAUGAAUAAAAAGUGUGUUCUUAUCAACUUAAGAUCUGAUACAAAUCCUAUUUGGAUCCAAGAUAAUAAACUUAUUUUUGCAACGUGGUGGAGUGUUUCAAGCUUGCUUCACCUUCACCACGGGUUGACCCGGUUUUGCACUACCUCCGGGAUCAGCCGACUCACC